UAACCGUGUGUUAAUGGAAUUCUGUCAACCC
rnacentral:piRNA from 1 species